UUUAACAUUCUCUUCAGUGCUCAUAUCUAAUUGGAGGCUGUGUAGCUUUUAUAUUGACGAACCAGUAUGGAACUGUUACGCAUUGCUUCCUUUUCCAUUCAGCUGUUAUGUUUAAAUACUUUAUAUCCACCAGUAGCUACAGCUAAAUCACUUCCAGAUAAUUUACACGAGCCCAUCCCAUGUGAUAACCCAGAUGUUCUAGCUGGUGUAGAUUUCUCUCUUCGCAAAUUAAAUGCCAACCUGAAAAGUGGCUAUAAAUUUGCUCUUCACUAUGUCUUCAGGGCUAGAGCAAAGGAAUUACAAGGAAAACUAUAUGCUAUUGAAUAUUUUACCCAGGAACAGAUUGUCCUGUUGGAAAUGAAACAAUCUGGAAAGAAUGCAAUGUCAAACCACAUGCAGCAACUACUAUGGGUCACUGUCAGUUGAAAAUGUUCAUCGAUAACGUCAGAAGAAUUGCUGAAGCGACUGAAUACAAUUGCACAUUAAAUUCAGGUGGUGGCUGGAAUGAAAUAUGAAGUGAAGUUUACAAUUCAGGAAACUGAAUGCAGCAAAGAGAAUUCUGAGAAUAUUGCUGGUAACUGUACUGCAAAGGCUGAUGGUGUAAAACUGUUCUGUGCCUCACGUGUGUUUUCACGGGUUUAGAUCAAUUACACAGAGGUGCAUAUAACCUGUACCCAUGACCCAUUUCAGACACCAAUGUUUGAAACAGCUCAAUAUGUUGGCUGGGGGUCUUUUGAUGUCCAAGAAUUAUUACAGGAACAAGCAGAAUCUGAUGGGCAGAAUACACACUUAGUACAGCUGGGAGAACAUCCAGUAUUUCAUAGAUGCCCCGGAAAAUCAUGGAAGCCCUUGCAAAAGAUUAAACCAACUUCCCCAACCUUCGAAACACCAUGAAAGCAACCAUCUGACCCACACAAGUUAUAUUAAUCUACUGGACUUUGUGAUGAAAAUCCCUUGCUAUUUGCAUUAAAAUAACUAUAAUGAAUUAACCAGCAUAAUUAAAUUUGUAGUUGUAAUUAGGAGCUUAGAUUUCAGUCAGCUCUACACUUCCCCGCAUACUUUUCUUGACCGUGGAGCCUUGCAAGAAACAGAAUUUGCGCUUCUAAUAAGAACAAAGAAAAUUACAGCACAAUAGCAGGCCCUUCAACCCUCCAAGCCUGCGCCAGUCAAGAUCCUUUGUCUAAACCUGUCAUCUGUUUUCUAAGGGUCUGUAUCCCUUUGCUUCCUGCCAAUCCAUGUACCUGUCCAGAUACAUUUUAAAAGACACUAUCAUGUCUGUAUCUACCACCUCCACUGGCAACGCGUCCCAGGCGCCCACCACCCUCUGCGUAAAGAACUUUCCAUGCAUAUCUCCCAUAAACUUUCCUCCUCUCACUUUGAACUCAUGACCCCUAGUAAUUGAGUCCCCCACUCUGGGAAAAAGCUUCUUGCUAUCCACCUUGUCUAUACCCCUCAUGAUUUUGUAGACCUCAAUCACCUCCCCCCUCAAUCUCCGUCUUUCUAAUGAAAAUAAUCCUAAUCUACUCAACCUCUCUUCAUAGCUAGCACCCUUCAUACCAGGCAACAUCCUGGUGAACCUCCUCUGCACCCUCUCCAAAGCAUCCACAUCCUUUUGGUAAUGUGGCAACCAGAACUGCACACAGUACUCCAAAUGUAGCCGAACCAAAGUCCUAUGCAACUGCAACAUGACCUGCCAACUCUUGUACUCAAUACCCUGUCUGAUGAAGGAAAGCAUACCAUAUGCCUUCUUGGCCAGUCUAUUGACCAUCAUUGCCACCUCCAGGAAACAAUGCACCUAAACACGCAGAUCUCUCUGUACAUCAAUUUUCCCCAGGACUUUUCCAUUUACCGUAUAGUUCGCUCUUGAAUGAUAUCUUCCAAAAUGCAUCAUCUCGCAUUUGCCCGAAUUGAAUUCCAUCAGCCAUUUAUCUGCCCAACUUUCCAAUCUAUCUAUAUUCUUCUGUAAUCUCUGAUAGGUCCCUUCACUAUCUGCUACUCCACCAAUCUUCAUGUCAUCUGCAAACUUGCUGAUCAGACCACCUAUGCCUUCCUCCAGAUCAUUUACGUAUAUCACAAACAACAGUGGUCCCAGCACAGAUCCCUGUGGAACUCCGCUGGUCACAGGUCUCCAAUUUGAGAAACCCCCAUCCACUACUACUCUCUGUCUCCUGUUGCCUAGCCAGUUUUUAUCCAUCUAGCUAGCACACCCUGGGCCCCAUGUGACUUCAAUUUAUCCAUCAGCCCUUUUACUCUUUAUAUAUGAAUAAAAGGCUUUGGGAUCUUCCCUAACCAUUUUUGAUAAAGAUAUCUCAUGGCCCCUUUUAGCCCUCUUAAUUCCUCGUUUCAGGUUUGUCCUACAUUCCUGAUAUUCUUCCAAAGCUUCACCUGUCUUCAGUUGCCUAGACCUUAUGUAUGCUUCCUUUUUCCUCUUAGCUAGUCUCAAAAUUUCACCUGUCAUCCAUGAUUCCCUAGUCUUGCCAUUUCUAUCCCUCACUUUCACAGGAACAUGUCUCUCCUGCAUGCUAAUCAACCUCUCUUUGAAAGCCUCCUACGUAUCAAAUGUGGAUUUACCUUCAAACAGCUUCUUCCAAUCUACAUUCCCCAGAUCCUGCCGAAUUUUGGUAUAGUUAGCCUUCCCCCAGUUUAAAACUCUUCCUUUUGGACCACUCUCAUCUUUGUCCACGAGUAUUGUAAAACUUACAGAAUUGUGGUCACUAUUUCCAAAGUAGUCCCCUACUGUAAUUUCAACCACCUGGUCGGGCUCAAUCCCCAACACCAGGUCCAAUAUGGCCCCUGCCCGACUUGAAUGACAUACAUACUGCGCUAGAAAAUCCUUCUGGAUGCUCCAUUCUGCUAUAUCUUGACUCCUACCGUAAGUGAAUCCCAGUCAAUGUUGGGAAAAUUAAAAUCUCCCAUUACCACCAUCCUGUUUCUCCUACACUUUUCCAUAAUCUGUUUACAUAUCUCACGCUCGCUAUUGGAAGGCCUGAGGUACAGCCCCAACAUUGUUACUGCACCCUUCCUAUUUCUGAGUUCUGCCCAUAUUGCCUCACUGCUCGAGUCCUCCAUAGUGCCCCUCUUCAGUACAGCUGUGAUAUCGUUUUUGGCCAGUAAUGCUACUCCUCCUCCCUUUUUACCUUCCUCUCUACCUCACCUGAAGCAUCGAUAUCCUGUGACAUCUAGUUGCCAAUCAUGCCCUUCCCUCAACUAAGUCUCAGUAAUAGCAAUAACAUCAUACUCCCAGGUACCGAUCCAAGCCCUAAAUUCUUCUGCCUUAUCUACUACACUUCUCACACUAAAACACAUACACCUCAGACUAUCUGUCCCUUUGUGUUCAUCAUCUGCUCCCUGCCUACCCUUCCCUUUAGUCACGCUGACUUCAUUAUCUAGUUCCCUACAGGCGUUAGUUACUACCUCCUUUCUAGCCAAUAACCUGCCUAAUAUUUGGUUCCCAUCCCCCUGCCACAUUAGGUUAAACCCUUCCCCACAGCAUUAGCAAAAGCACCCCCAAGGACAUUGGUUCCAGUCUGGCCCUGGUGUCGACCAUCCAAUUUGUAAUAGUCCCACCUUCCCCAGAAUCGGUCCCAAUGUCCCAAAAAUCUGAGCUGCUCCCUCCUGCAUCAUCUCUUAAGCCACGCAUUCAUCCUGGCUAUUCUUUCAUUUCUGCUCUAACUAGCACAUGGCACUGGUAGCAAUCCUGAGAUUACUACCUUUGAGGUCCUACUUUUUGGCUUGGCUCCUAAGUCCCCAAAUUCUGUUUGUAGAACCUCAUCCCAUUUUCUACCUAUAUCAUUGAUGCCUUUCUGCAUCACGACAACUGGUUGUCCACCCUCCCCCUGCAGAAUGUUCUGCUGUCGAUCUGAGACCCGUGCACUUGGGAGGUAACAUACUAUUCGGGAGUCUCGUUUUUGACCACAGAACCGCCUAUCUACCCCCCUUACAAUUGAAUCCCCAAUGACUAUUGCCCUUCCACUCUUUUUCCUGCCCUUCUGUACAGCAGAGCCAGCCACGGUGCCAUGAAACUGGCUACUGCUGCCUUCCCUUGGUGAGCCAUCUCUCCUAACAGUAUCCAAAACGGUACACUGCCCAAAUAAAUGAAGGCCGCUCCCACUUGAGGUAAGCUUUUUAAAGUGGGAAAACAUACCUUCCCAGCAGCCUCCUGGUGCUCACUCUCUAUCUCUCCUCCCAAAAAUGAUUUGCAUAAACCUGAAUGUGGAUUUAUGUGAAAUAAUUUCACACGAAUAAUGGUGGAUUUGUCACCCUUGCAGGAUAAUGGAUUACAAUGAAUUAUUAUACUGUAAUAUGUGUAAAAGUGCGCAAUAAAUGUAACAACGAGUGUAAUUACACAACAUAAUAAAUAGAUUAAUGUGCUACCUUAUAGUCGACUCUCCGUCUUCAGAAAUACUCAUUAGUCACAAGGUCAAAUAAAGGGACUUGAUGAUAAUACAAAUGUGCAGUUUUACCAUUUAUACCUCAUUCAUUUUGGCAGUCAGAGAUUGGACCAAAUUCCAAAUUACGACUAAGGAUAAGAAGCCAAACCGAAUCAGCCGUAAUAAUUAUGGAAUUCACAACAUUGUGAAAUUAAACUAUUCAAUGAUCCUGAAAAUUUCCCAUUUGUUCCUGAUUAGACUUUUACAAAUAACAGAUUUUGAACACCAAGUUUUUACUGUUAACAAAAACUAUGCUGUUAAUAUUUCCAUUUUAGUAGAACAAAGCCAAACAAGGUAAUCUAACUAAUAUGUAUAAUUUAAACCCAAAUCAUCUUUAGUCACAUCCACACUCACUGACAGGCAGACUGACUGUCAGAUUUAAGAGAUAAAUUAGAAAGAUAAUAAAAGAAAUU